CUCGGGUGGAUACGGAUGCAAAAGAGUCUGAGAAAGACAAAGAGAAGUUUCGGUAUCGGAAGAUUCCGAAAACUUUUGGGAACUGGAUUAGAGCAUUUCUAUCCUGGCUAGCGUGAUAGGUGUAAAGACUCCCAGCAAAUGCUCUGUUUUGCUACCAGGACAUGAUAUGGAACGCUUGUCGGGUUUAUGGCGGGUUAGGGUGGUGGCGGUAUGAUGAACAGUUCCGCCAACGAUUAGUGGUUGGGAUCAAAUGGACAUCGGCUUGUGGUUGGCUAUCAUGACCCGCCCGGCCUCGCAUCAAGGGGGCCUUUCCACUGGUUGGGAUCAAAUGGACAUCGGCUUGUGGUUGGCUAUCAUGACCCGCCCGGCCUCGCAUCAAGGGGGCCUUUCGUCCUUUCUUGGGGGGGCCGGCGCUGGGUCCUCAUCUUCAGCGUCGGCCGGUCAGCGGAAGACUGGGUGCUGUUGGCAAUAUAAUGAUGGCCAAUGCAAGUUUGGAUCAGGUUGUCGCUUCAAGCAUGAAUGUUCUGGGUGCGGCGGGUCCCACCCUGCGUCAAAAUGCUUUAAACGUGGCAAGUCUGGCGAAAAAGGAGAUUCCGUGGGCGCUAAGGGCGAGGACGCCAGUGGACGUCGACGCGAUGCGCCCAUGGCUAAAGCGUUAUAACAAUAAGAAGGCGACUGCCUUGUUAUUGGAGGGUUUUGGGCAGGGUUUUUGGAUCCCUCACCGGGCUCGGCAGGUCUCCGGUUUCUGCCGAAACCUGAGGUUGGUUGCUGAUCACCCGGGGGUGGUCCGGGAAAAAUUGGCCAAGGAGGUAGCGUUGGGCCGCAUGGCGGGCCCCUUUCGGGAACCUCCACUCCCCGAUCUGAGGGUUUCACCACUAGGUGUCGUGACAAAAAGGGAACCAGGAAAGUUUAGGCUGAUUCACCAUUUAUCGCACCCUCAUGGGGGCUCGGUGAAUGAUGACAUUGCCGCUGAAUUGUGCC